rnacentral:rRNA from 1 species
GGCGACCGCUUUUGGAGUUCGAUUAAGCCAUGCGAGUAGAAAGAAAUUAGAUUCUUUGCGAACUGCUCAGUAACACGUGGAUAACCUGCCCUAUGCUCUGGAAUAACCUCGGGAAACUGAGAAUAAUACCGGAUAGAUCACAACGCCUGGAACGGUGUGUGGUUGAAAGAUUACGGCAAUAGGAUGGGUCUGCGGCGUAUCAGGUUGUCAGGGGGUGUAACGGACCUCCUAGCCAUCGACGCGUACGGGUGUUGGGAGACAUAGCCCGGAGAUGGAUUCUGAGACACGAAUCCAGACCCUACGGGGUGCAGCAGGCGCGAAAACUUCACACUGCAGGAAACUGUGAUGAGGGAACUCCAAGUGUGCGCACUUAGUGUGCGCUUUUGUUGACUAUUAAUCGGUCAAUGAAUAAGGGCUGGGAAAGACCGGUGCCAGCCGCCGCGGUAAUACCGGCAGCUCAAGUGGUCGUCGCUUUUAUUGGGCCUAAAACGUCCGUAGCCUGUUUGGUAAAUCUGUGGGUAAAUCAACCAGCUUAACUGGUUGAAUUCUGCAGAGACUGCCAGACUAGGGACCGGGAGAGGUGUGGGGUACUCUAGGGGUAGGGGUAAAAUCCUGUCAUCCUUAGAGGACCACCAGUUGCGAAGGCGCCACACUGGAACGGAUUCGACGGUCAGGGACGAAGCCUAGGGGCACGAACCGGAUUAGAUACCCGGGUAGUCCUAGGUGUAAACGCUGUGAACUUGGUGUCGGGGGUCCGUAAUGGGUCCCCGGUGCCGGAGUGAAGAUGUUAAGUUCACUGCCUGGGGAGUACGGUCGCAAGGCUGAAACUUAAAGGAAUUGGCGGGGGAGCACUGCAACGGGAGGAGCGUGCGGUUU